AUUGAACGCUGGCGGCAGGCCUAACACAUGCAAGUCGAGCGGAUGAAGGGAGCUUGCUCCUGGAUUCAGCGGCGGACGGGUGAGUAAUGCCUAGGAAUCUGCCUGGUAGUGGGGGAUAACGUCCGGAAACGGGCGCUAAUACCGCAUACGUCCUGAGGGAGCAAGUGGGGGAUCUUCGGACCUCACGCUAUCAGAUGAGCCUAGGUCGGAUUAGCUAGUUGGUGGGGUAAAGGCCUACCAAGGCGACGAUCCGUAACUGGUCUGAGAGGAUGAUCAGUCACACUGGAACUGAGACACGGUCCAGGCUCCUACGGGAGGCAGCAGUGGGGAAUAUUGGACAAUGGGCGAAAGCCUGAUCCAGCCAUGCCGCGUGUGUGAAGAAGGUCUUCGGAUUGUAAAGCACUUUAAGUUGGGAGGAAGGGCAGUAAGUUAAUACCUUGCUGUUUUGACGUUACCAACAGAAUAAGCACCGGCUAACUUCGUG
rnacentral:rRNA from 1 species